GGUCCCCGCCCCGACUCCCAAGUUACCUGUCCCGUCACAGGCCCCUCAGAGUCCUGCUGUUCUAUGGCCGCCGACAUUACUCUUGUGGGUGGGGAGGCGGGGUUUACAUUUUGCCAGAUUAAAUGACUGGUUAAAGAUGUAAUUUCUGUCCCAAGAUAGGGCAGGAAGAUGUUUCGGGCAGACUCCUAAUCUCCCCCAAUCCAAUUAUCUACCAAUCAGUCCUAAAUCGUCUGUGCACUGCAUUGUCCGUAGAAAUAGCUAGAAUAUCAACGGUUUAAUAGCAGAUAGGAGCCCGCAAUUUGAGAAGCUCUUCUUUGGGCCAGGCUGGGUCUUCUCCCAACUCUCCUUCCCUCACUUGUCAAACAAUGAAAAGGGACCAGCUGGAGAGUCUGGGCGGUUCCGGCACCGGGACCCCGGCCCGGGGCUGACCUGCUUGCGGUCUGCGGGUUCCGGGCGGGGGCGGGGCCCUCUCUCGCGCUCCGGCGGCCCUGCAGCCGGGAGAGGGCCCGGGCCCGGGCGCGGGCGGGGCGGGGCGGGCCGGGGAGCUCCGGCGGGGGCGAGCUCGCGGGACGCGCGGGCGGAGCGGGGAGCUUCCGGUCCCGGUCUUCGGCGCAGGACGCAGCGGUCGCGUGCAAGAGAGUUUUAUAGAAGGCUGGCCGCGCGCUGACCCUGGCGAUGCCUGGAACCGGAGCCCCCUUGGUCAAAGGUGUCCGGCUGUCAGUUACCUAACAAGUCAUUACGCCCAGCCUGUUUCUUCUUGUGAUGCGAAUCAUCGUUAUUUGGUUGUUCCCGGGCUGAUUACACACAGCCGUGGGAGUUAGGGGCCGGCAGUAGAGUGGGCGCCCGGGCCCUGCCCUGAAUUUGUCUUUAGCAAAUCCCCUAGACCCUCUCUGCCUUAGAUAUACACAGUCAAUAUUUAACUUUUAAAAGUUCUGCCUUCCUUUUUUAACUUAAAAACAUUUAGGAAGGUAUAAAAUAAAAAAAAUAAGAAAAUUUCUCCUAGUGCCAAUAAGGGGCUAUAAUCACUCAUUCUGGUAUAUUAAAAAAAAAUUUUUUUUUUUGCUUUUUUGUUUAAAACCUCUCCUUAGGUAUUUUUAAUUUUUUCCCCAUCAUUUUCAUCCUAUUUCUUAUUCUGGUUUCCAGCCUGCUUUUUAAAAUUGUUAUAUCAUACACAUUUCUCUUACAACAUUUCUACACAAGUCUCAGUCGUGUGGAAUAUUUGCAUAACAUUCUGCUCAUAUGUUGCCCAAUAAGUUGGACAUUCAGGUCGUGUCUAUUUUUGCACUAUGAUACAGUGAGUUCUAAAUAGUAUGUAAUUUCAGUUUUCAUUUCUUAAUUUAAGAGUUCUCAAAAGGUGUUACAGUUUUUUAGGUGGAUAGAUUUUUCCCCAUUUGCUUUUAAUCUUAAUGCCUUGGGGUCUGAGAAUGUGGCCUAUAUUUAUACUUUUUAGAAUUUGUUGAGCUUUUGAUUGAUGGUUGAUUUUGCAAAUAACUCUAGACAUAGUUUUGAGUGAUUCAUUGAGUACAAAACUCUAUAUAUUAAAGCACACUCAGUAGAAUACACUAUCCAUAUCCACUAUGUUCUUUUAUCUACCUGACCUCUUAAUUUCUGAAAGAACUGUGAGUUUUCAAAGUAUGUGCAUGGACUUGCCGUUUACUUUUGUAUAUUUUUAACAGUUUGUGCUUUACAUAUUUUGUUUAACUUAAUUUCUUCCCCAGCUUUAUUGAGAUGUAAUAUUGUGUAUGUUUAAGGUGUACAACAUGAUGGUUUGAUAUAUGUGUAUGUGGGGAAGUGAUUACCACAGUAAGGUUAGUUAACACAUCCAUUACCUCACAUAGUUUCAUUUUUUUUCUCUAUCAUCUGUUUUUUCAAACAUACAGUACAGUAUUUUUAACUACAGUCACCUGACUGUAUAUUACAUCCACAGAAUUUGUUCGUUUUAUAACUGGAAGUUUACUCUUUAUAACUGGAAGUGUACUCUUUUUCACCAUCUUAUUUCCAAAUUUUAUAGUGAUAAUAUGAAGUGUAAAAACCACAUAUCUGUUAAGAUGAUAAACAAAUAAGCAUAGUGGGAUAUGUAUCUUUUUAUGCAUUUUGAAUUAUUUCCUUGGUCUGAAUUUUCAGAAGGAAAUGGCCUUGAGAGCCAAACUGGCCUCUGAAGAAUUUGACAAAAGCACACGAUGGCUUUCACAGCAGAGGGCUUGCUUCACUGAACCCUCCCUGGUCAGCAGCAGGUAUAAAAAGAACAAAACGCAAAACAAGACUGUCUUAUUUUGAGAGAGGUCCAUUAAUUGGUUGUAUUUUCUUUUUUGUAUGUGGAUUAUCUGUUCCUGUCCUUUUGUGCUUCUGUUUUUUUAUCUUGAGGAGGUUAAUCUCUUCCAGUUCUUAUGUUCUAGGAAUUACAUUUAUGCUUAUUCUAUGGCAAAACACCUUAUUGAAAAAUAAAAAAUCCAGCCUAUCAAACCAGAUACCUCAAAUUCAUCCUGUCUCCGUCCGCACUGCCUGUGGGCCUGACCUUUCAGUGUGACACACGAAGCAGGAGAUUUUGCAGCUGCAGGAGCUGCUGUUGAGCUCACUUCUGAAGGUAAGAUGCCUUCAAAUGGCCCCGGACACAGAGAGGAAAAACCAUCAGAGCAGCUAGAGAUGGCAAGCCUGUGAUGAUCAGAGCCAACAUAGAAAAUCUAGGAUACAGUGAAGCAAAGAAGAGGAAAAUAAAAUAGUCCUUAAGUCCUGCCCCCAAAGAUACAACUGACAACCUCUACUGUAUCGCCUUCCAGAUUCUCUCUCUCUUACAAUUGGGGCCAUACUUUAGUCUAAUAAUAUUUUGUGCCUUUUUAAAAACAGUCUUUUCUUGUCAUUAUACAUUCUUCAUAUCUAUCUAUAUAUAUAUAGAGAGAGAUAAAAUUGAAAUUGCUUUAUUGUUUUGUCUGGCUAUAAAUGUAAUACACAGAUGGAAGACAUGCCCAUGCAUAAACAAGAAGGUGAAAAUCACCUGUAAUCUGCCACAUCCCCCAACCCCUGUAACAGUCAGAGUUAUAACUUUGGCAUAUACUCUGACUAUUCUUUCUAAUGCAUGUUUCUUGCACACAGCUAAUUCCCCUCCCUUCCAAGAUUGGGUUCAUAUAACAUAUAAUGUUUUAUAACCUGCUUUUUAAAUUUAAAAAUGCAUUGUGAAUAUCUUUCCAGUUAUUAACAUUCUUGGUACAGCAUUAUUUCAAUGGCUUUUAUUACAUAAUAUGGUGCAUUCUCAUUUAUUUCACUGGAUACUUAGGUUUUUAGCAUGUUUUCAGUAUGCUCACAGUAACGUGAUGCAUGUUUUUGCCAUUAAUAAUCCUUGUGCAUAACCAUAAUAACCUUUUCAUGAUAAAUUCAUAGAAGUAGAAUUGCUGGACCAAAAAAUGUGCACAAUUUUAAGGUUCUUGAUACUAUUACCAAUUGCCCUUCACAAUGGCAGCACCAGUCUGCACUCCCAGCAACGGAAUACGAAUGGGCUCCUUUAUUCACACACUCAUCUACCUGAAAUAUUGUAUCUGGUAAAUAAUUUUGGUAAUCUGUAAAAUACAUUUCUAAAAUGCACUCCUUUUUUUGUGUAUUUGUUGUCUAAACAACUCCAAUCUAUAUUAGAAACAAGUCUAUAUUUAAUUUUUAUUAGAGUUUAUUAUUCAUUAAAUUACCAACUUCUGGCUUCUUUCUUUCAGUAUAUAUAUAUAUUUUUUAAACAUUCACUUGUUUAAACAACCUGGAAAUACUUUUGGUCUAAAAUGUGAAGGGCUAAAACUUAAAUUUUUUUUCAAAUAGCUUACCAAUUGGUUCAGCACACUUUAUCAUAUAAUUCACCCUUUCCCCAUGUGUGUAAAUGCCACUUGUAUCAUGUAAUCCACAUAUUCUAGUGGGUUUAUUCUUAUGUCACUUAAUUUUAAUUAUUGGAAUCAGGAAUUGUAAGUUGACCAGUAUAUACCUAGUAGCUGAUAAUCUCACUGUGGGGAAGAGGCUCUUGCCUUGGAGAAAGUAAACCUUUCUGAUUCUAAAAAGAUGGGUGAGUCUCAUUCCUCCAUCUCUGCAAUUUACCCCUCUGCUAAGACCUAAGGAUGGGGAAAACAGGACGUCAUGGCCAGGAAGCAGGAAUCUAGAACUCAGAACAAGGCUAACCAGCAACAAAGCCUGGGGGUCACAGUAAAAAACAAGAUCCGCCUUAGGGAUUCUGACACUUUGAAAGUCAACUAAGUUCUGGGACCCUCAUAAGAAAUUAAAAACUAACAGUUUGGGGCACUCUGAAAAAGUACUGUUCUCAAGAUUUUAGAUCAAUAAAUAAAUCCAUAGAGUCACACCUCAGUUAAGUCAAUGACCUCGCUGUCCCUGUGCUUGAAAUACCAGCUUUUUAAAUGUAGGAACUAAUAAUAUGUUUAGCCACUAUAAUAACAAAUUCUACUUCUGUGAAAAAAAAAAGGUACAAAUUAGUGGAAAUUGUGCUUUCUCAUCUAACCCUACUUCUGAGCAAGCUGAGUGUUCACACCACAAACCCAGUCAGGACAAUGCACCUCAAUCCGGGGUGGUGAACUGUACUUUUAGGCAAAAAUAGAGAAAAUAAAUUACCUGGACUAGCUGGAAAACUAAAAGUAGAAAGUAAGAGGUGAUACAUCAGAUUAGAUGAAGGACACAAUAACAUCAUUUUUAUGCUAUUCACACAAACUGGCUUGUGUGGGGAGAGUGCUAGAUGCUAAUAGGUGGUGCAGUGUUUCUUCCCUGCCUCCCAUUCUGUUGCUGGGCUCCCCAUGUUUCCUGCUCCCUUUGUGGGUAAUAGCUUCGUAAGCUGCCCGCAAAUCCUUUUGGAACUAGGUAGUGCAAAAAUAAAUAAAAAUACGGUUCUUAGGUGCUUUCCAAUGUAGUGUAAAAUUGAAUUUUAAUGGUCAAUUUAAUAAAAAUGAAAGGAGGAACUAUUUUGUUUUAACCUCUCAUCACUUUUUUCCGGGGAGCUUUUGCUUUUUUUGCACUCAUGCCUGAUGCUGGCAGCCAGGUGGGUGUCGUCAGUGGCACUUGCCUACACAGGAGGUCACAGCUGCUCAGCUACAGGCAGUUGUCUAUAUUCUAUAUCUUCUAUGAGAUUUCAAUUUUGUUUAAAAAAGUACGUGCUGAAGAAAAUCUGGAGGAACAAUAAGCCUUCAAAUACUGAUUUUACACAUUUCUGCAAUGUUCCAUACUUGGAUUUAAAAAAUAUCUCUUUAUUGAAAUAUAAUCUGUAUCUAUUUCCAUAUCUAUAUGUACUGAGUGUAUAGCUCAAUGACUUUUCAUAAACUGAUCACCC